UUUAUACAUAUUAAACGAACGCCCAAUAAACAUUGUGGCGAACGUUUGAAAAAACCUUCGAUAUCCAAUAUGAAUAUCGAACUGAGUACGAACUCAUAACCAACCUUAGUUUUCCAA